rnacentral:misc_RNA from 1 species
ACGCACAUUGCGCUUUUGGGUCAUGCCCAAGAGCAUGCUUAUCUGAGUGUUCCUGAACCCCACUCAGCUGCUGGUGCUGCACGAGAGUGCACAUGAGCGGGCUGGACUGUGACAGUGCGGGCUGACGCCAGCUCUGUUGAGAUUCGUAGGUUUGUGGUUGUGCCUAGCACAGUCCCGAAGCAAACACUGCAUAAGACUUGGUGACUGCACUGACGUGUGUUUCAUGUCUAGAGUUGUGGUGUGGAUGGCUGCGGCAGGGCUGGACUGUCAGACUGGGGCCUGUGUGGUAAGAAGCACACGCCCGCAAUGAAGUGAAACUCAUCUAUGAAUCUCAGAUUAAGUAAGACUACCCGCUGAAUUUAA